rnacentral:rRNA from 1 species
UACGGAGGGUGCAAGCGUUGUUCGGAAUCACUGGGCGUAAAGCGCGUGUAGGCGGCCUCCUAAGUCUGGUGUGAAAGCCCGGGGCUUACCCCCGGAAGUGCACUGGAUACUGGGAGACUAGAGUACCGGAGAGGAGGGUGGAAUUCCUGGUGUAGCGGUGAAAUGCGUAGAUAUCUGGAGGAACACCAGAGGCGAAGGCGAAUCACUGGACUGCAACUGACGCUGAGGCGCGAAAGCUAGGGGAGCAAACAGG